rnacentral:lncRNA from 1 species
AAUUAAGGCCCUUUGUCCAAGAUGAUUCCUUGUUUAAGUCAGCUGUUUUCUUGCUGCCCUCUUGCACCUUAGCUUUCCUGCUGUGGUGGCUGUUGGCAGGGUGCUUUGGGAAGGACUGCCCCAAUUCAGACAAGAUGGGACUUUUUGCCAACCUCUUUUCCCGGUCACUGCAUGUUUGAGUUCCUCAGGGCUUGGGCCUGUUUCUUCAUCUCUCUUCUGUGUUUUCUGGAUGAUAGCAUUUGUUCCCAAGGAUUUAAAUAUCAUUUAUGUGCUGAGAAUCCCCAAAUUUGUAUUUUAUAGGGAGUUCAUACUUCACAUGUCCAAACUGAAAUUAUUAUCUGCAAAACUAUUUCUCCCCUUAGUUUUUUCCAUCGGAAAUGCUUAAACCAGGAAUCUAGGAGUCAUUUUUGGCACCUUUGUUUUUCUUACACACCACUCCCCACCACAUUCUUGUCCUUUCCAGCACAUCUCCAGAAUGUAUUUUGUAUUGUUUCACCUCUUUUCACUGAAGCUAUCCCAUCUCUCCCCCUGAACUGCCACAGUAGCCUUUCAGCUGGUCUUCACACUUGUCUGGUCUCCAAUUUUUUUCUCUGCAUAGCAGCCAGAGAAAGCUUUUGAAAGAAUGGGUCACAUGGUUACUUAAACUAUUCAGUGGCAUCCCAUUGCACUUGAAUUUACAGUUUUUCCUGUCUCUUCCAGGCUGUUUUCUCUGCAUAGAACACUCUUGUUCUACCCUUUGAGUACUCAGCUCCUUCUCAUCCCUGAGCUCUCAGCUUUCUUCUGAGGCCUUCCUUGACUACUCAGUCUAAAGAAGGUUUUACCUCUCUGCUCUGUCAUUGUAUUCUGGUUUUCUUUUUCCUUUAUAGCAUACAGCUUACCACUACUCUUUUGUUUGUUUGUUUGUUUGUUUUGAGAUGGAGUUUUGCUCUUGUUGCCCUACAACUCUUAAAGAUGGUGUGUCCAGAGUUUGUUCCUCCAGAUGUUCAGAUGUGUCCGGAACUUCCUUCCGGUGGGUUCGUGGUCUCACUGACUUCAGGAGUGAAGCCGCAGAUCUUCGCAGUGAGUGUUACAGCUCUUAAAGGUGGCACGUCAGGAGUUGUUUGUUCCUCCCGGUGGGUUUGUGGUCUCGCUGACUUCAGGAAUGAAGCCGCGGACGCUUGUGGUGUGUGUUACAGCUCAUAAAGGUAGUGCAGACCCAAAGAGUGAGCAGCAGCAAGAUCUACUGUGAAGAGCAAAAGAACAAAGCUUUCACAGCGUGGAAGGGGACCCAGGCGGGUUGCUGCUGCUGGCUCGGGUGGCCAGCUUUUAUUCUCUUAUUUGGCCCUGCCCACAUCCUGCUGGUUGGUCCAUCUUACAGAGCACUGACUGGUCCAUUUUACAGAGUGCUGAUUGGUGUGCUUACAAUCCUUUAAACACAGAGCGCUGAUUGGUGCAUUUACAAUCCUUUAGCUAGACAGAAAAGUUCUCCAAGUCCCCACCCGACCCAGAAGUCCAGCUGGCUUCACCUCUCAUUACUACUAUAUUGAGGCUCUGCAUUCCAAAAGCGUUGGUGUAUGUGAGGAGAGGCAACCUUUGUUGUGUGUUCUGCAACCAUCAAUGGACUGCCUUACCUCCACAGCUUGAAAGCUUUGUUUACUUAAAGCAGGAUUCUGAACCUUUUUGGCAUGAUGGUUCUCUUUUGAGGAUCUGAUAAAAGCUAGGGCUCUUCUCAACCUAACACAUGCACAAAUGCACAUACAUUCUGAAUUUUGUGUACAGUUUUAGGGAGUUUGUAGACCUCCUGAAGUCCCCUGAUAAUUUUUUUUUUUUUGGAGACGGAGUCUCCCUCUGUCACCCAGGCUGGAGUGCAGUGACGUGAUCUCAGCUCACAGGUGCCCACCACCAUGCCUGGUUAAUUUUUGUUUAUUUAGUAGAGACGGGGUUUCACCAUGUUAGCCAGGCUGGUCUUGAGCUCCCGACCUCAAGUGAUCCACCUGCCUCAGUCUCCAAAAGUGCUGGGAUUACAGACGUGAGCCACCAUGCCCAGUCCCCUGAUAAACUUAAGCCUGUGGAUCUCAGUUUGAGAACCUAUGCCUUAAAGAUUAUCUUCAACCGUAAAGUUUGUACAUAAGGGAGCCUGGCCAACAUUGGCAAAACCACGUCUCUACUAAAAAUACAAAACAAAAUUAGCCAGGCAUGGUGGCGGAUGCCUGUAAUCCCAGUUACAACAGAGGCUGAGGCAGGAGAAUCAUUUGAACCUGGCAGGUGGAGGUUGCAGUGAGCCGAGAUUGCGCCACUGCACUUCAGCCUGGGUGACAGAGUGAGACUCUGUCUCAAAAAAAAAAAAAGUAUGAAAGAAUUUUAUGUAUUUGUGGUAUUGUAGGUACAUUUUAAUAUUUGUUAUGGAAAAAUCUUAAACAUAGCUUUAGAGAGACUAGUAUAACAAACCCAUGCGUACCCAUUACUAAGGUUCAAUAAUUAUUAGAGUGGCAAUUUUAUGCAUCUCCACUUCUACCUUCUCCCCUCAUCCCUACUUUGUGUUAUUUUGAAUGAUUCUAAACAACAUAUCAUUUAUCUAUAAAUAUUUCAGUAUGAAUCUCUAAUCGUGUACAUGACUACUAUGUCAUUAUCACACUUAAAAACUAAUUAUUCUCUGGCUGUGUGCAAUGACUCACAUCAGUUAUUUUGUGUAUAACUGAGGCGGGAGGAUUGCUUGAAAGUAGGAGUUCGAGACCAGCCUGUGCAACAUGGCAAGACCUGGGGGCAACAAAAAAGUUUUGGAAAUAGAGUGAUGAUGGUUGCACAACUAAGCUUUAUAAUUGGGUUUCGAAGAGUUAGGUUCAUGCCACUGAAUUUAUGCUUAAAAAUGGUUAAAAUGGUGAAGUUUAUGUAUAUUCUACCACAAUAAAAAAUACAAAAGAAAGGGAUAGCCUUAUGAUAGUAUAUGAUCGCAUAUAAAUACAUGAGGGAAUUCAAUAGUGCAGUUCCUGUGAACAGAGCGAAUAUGUUUGUCAAUACUAUGUAUUUUAUGGGGAGAAAGACCUAGACCAGCCUUUAAAUCAGUGAGCUUCCAAAAUUAUAUCAAAUAGCAGAACUAUGAAAAAUAAAACAUGAUAUUGGAACUCCUGAGUGAGAAGUCCACAAAGCUUCUUCCAUCCAGUUGAGCAACUUCCCCUGCUUCUGCUUAAUUGUAGGACCUGCAAAUGUUUUUGUGUUUGUUGUUUACGAGAUAAGGUCCUGAUGAUAAUUGUGAGGUUCGUUUUUCAAUAUCAAUCUCUGGUAACCAGAAGAUUAAGUCAGCUAGAACAUACAGCUCUGAGAAGUCUGGUUAAGAAGAUUCUGCUAUAUUUGAUCAUUUAUGUUUACAUUUGUGCUUGCCUAAUACUUAGAUAUAGUUUAUCACAAUGAAUACAAACAUAGUGGCUGCAGGGAUAUGGUUGGUUUGGGGUGGUAGAUUGCUGGCCCAGGCCUUAAGAAGACCAGUUCUGUCCUCACUCUGCCCUCACCCUGUCAUUAAGUUUCUGUGUGCCUUUGGGUAAGUCACCUCCCCUUUUGUGCUUGGUGUAAAAUUGUAGAUGUGAUGAGCUUUAAAGGCUCUUUUCAGCACUGCAGAGCUGCAUGUAGGCUUCAAUAUUACAGUGAUGAAUUGCCCUCUGUUAUACUUCUAGUUCAGAAGAACUUAGGGGGUAGAAGCCGCUGCUCUUGGUUGCCUAUGAGAGUAGUUAAUGCACACAGUGAAAACAAAACCCAAUUAUGAAGUUCAGUUGAAUGCAUUUUCAUUUAGUCCUAUUAAUACAGUUAGUAAUUCUUCCCAGUGUUAAAAUCUCAAGCUUCCUCUUGGUCUGGACCCUAAGGUCAUUGAGUUUGAGAGAAAGCAAACUGUUUAUAUGAGUGCUUCAUAUUAACUGGUUUCCUUCAAACUCCAGGAACAGAAACUAACCCUUUUUGUGAUACAAAUCAGUGUAACAUUCCCAGAGUUUGUACUUGAGGGGCCAGAAUUCUUAGCAGAGGCUGCUGGCAUAGUUAACGCUUGGGCAGGGCUAAGUCACUGGGAAACUGCCUGACAUGAUCAGAGGUUCAGGUGUGCUCAUGGACCACACAGAACAGCCUGAGAGUUUGUAGCACAUCACAAAGCUUGGUGGACUUCCCUGUGUAAGAGCCAAAACUUUGUUUAAGAGGCGGGAAAGAUGGAAGACAAGGACUGGAUUCAAGCAGAAUGCACGUGGGAGAAUAAAACAACUCAGGGACUAAGUGCUACACUGUGUGGCAACGGCUCUGAAGUUCCACAUCAGGGGGAAUCGUUUGAGCCUGAUAGUUGAAAGGGAGAAGAAUCUGAAUACAUUUUUCCCUAGGCUGUCAUUUCAGGUGACAUGUUUUGUUUUUCCUUUUUAAUGUAAAUAUAUAGCAUUGAUAUUUUUCUCACUCUUGCAACUUUCAGCCAUUGCUUUAAUAUCUUCGUGUGAAAAUCGGUCUUUGAGGUUUAUGCUAUUUUUCCCUAUAACCCCUUUUUGCUGUCUUCUAUUAAAGCUCUAGGCACAGACAUUUCUCUCAUCCUGCACCCCUCAAUUCAUCAGAGAUUUUAUUAUCUGGCUCACAGUGUUGCUGUCCCCACUCCAGGUCUUGCCAUCACUAUGCCUGCGGACAAUCCAUUUAAUAUUUCACUCUCUAGGAGCUUAAUCUAUGUGGAGAUAACAAACAUAUUAAAAACAGUAUGAUACUUAAAAAUAACGUUUUAAGGCAUCCAUAGAAGUGGCAUAAGCCUGUGUUUGAAACAAAGCCGUAAUUGGGGGAUGGACACCUCUUUUCUUCUAGGUUCACAUUUCCAUGUGGAGGGACAUCACUGUGUAAUUCCCUUGGCUUCUCUUUGCGCCCAGAGGAGGACUUACUAAUCUCAUUGAAGAAUUUGGGUGAGCAACUAGGCAGGGCUUAGGAGCCAGCCACUUGUAGCCUAUUCUUGGAAGCUGCAAAUUUUCCAGAAACAGAUCUCUAUGUGGGUAGGCCUAUAGUUUUCCAACUGCUACUGUUAUUGGGUGAGCGAAUUGCUCAAUUCCAGCAGACACUUAUUUUUUUGAGACUGAGCCUCUCUCUGUUGCCAGGCUAGAGUGCAAUAGCACGAUCUCGGCUCGCUGAAUUAAGCUGACAGUUUGGUCACUAUCUGACUUUUUUGGUCAUAUUUCUCCCUUUUUCCAGAAAUGAGUGGGUAGGUGGAUGGAGGGAAGGGAUUUUAUUUAAUGAACCCCCAAGCUCCAAUAGUAGUCAUUGCUAAAAGUUCAUAGGGGAGAUGAUACCAUCUAGCUUUUUUGAGGCUUGAGUUGGAUAUUGAGGGAUGGCAGAAUUGAGGUAGAGUUUUAAAGAUGGGUCUAACAGUAUGAGAACAUUCAGUCAGAUUACGGUGAGUUCAAAGAACAGGAAGUUGACAGCCGGUUUGAGCUAAGGCUUUGGCAAGAGUUGGUAGUGAUGAGAUUAGGAAGAUUGGAAUGCCUGAUGGACAGAUUUGACUCUCCCCCUCCCCCCCUUAUAAGUAGGAGGAAGCUAUUGAUGGUUCCUAUGUAGGGGAAUGACAAGGUUAAACUGAUGUAUUCAGAAAGAAUUAUCAUUAGUGUCUAAGAGUAGGCUAAUAUUCAGUGAUAAUAAAUAGGUUUAUAAUCUGAUGUUCACUGUAAAUCAGUUUGGAAGUACAAAUGCCUUAAUAUACUAGAAAAUAAUCUUUCUUAGAAGUUGUCAUUCCUUAAAUAGCUGUGAUUUCUUUGAACAGAAGGUCAAUUCCCAGGCUAAUUUAGAUGGACUUGAGGUGUCAUAGAGCAAUAGUGUUAACUUCCCAAAGCAAGCCUUUUUGAAAGAGGUGCACAAGUUGUUGUUUUUAAUUGAGGAGUAUGUAUAUGAACGCAUCUUAGACCUUUGUGGUGUUUGGUGAAAUCCAUCCGAAGAUGCAAACAAUACAAAAUAGAUCAAUGUGUCCUCAGUUCCAUUGUCCUUUUCAAGGAUAAUUACUGUGAGCAGUUUGUAUGUAUUUCUAGUCUCUAUGUUUAGAUAACAGGGCCUUAUUUAUUUAUUCUGCAACUUGCUUUUUUUUUCCACUUAACAGUAUAUUUUGGUAACUUUUCCAUGUCAGUAACUUUUUCUUUUCUUUUUUUUCUUUCUUUUUUUUUUGAGAUGGAGUUUCGCUCUUGUUGAGGUAGUGUUGGUGCUUCUUUUCAGUGCCAGUCCAUCCAUCACGACCACAUUUGUCAUGAUGACAGUGACAAGAGGAACAGGAGAUCAGCAGGGUAAAGAACUGUCUGAAACGACUCUCCUUUCUUCCUGCCUACCAUGUAUAUAUUGAUUGUUUCCUAAAUGGAAAUGGAGAAAAUGGAUUAGGGUCUCUUGACUAUGUAUUUAGAAUUUAUUCAAUUCAUUCAGUCAGCAAGUAGUACUUAUCGAUAGGUAGCUAUGUGUCUAGGCAUUUAGGGAAUACAGCCAGAUAGAAAACAGAUAGAUUCUAGUAUAGCAUUUUACAAUAAGUGAAGUGGAUAAAAGAAAAGUUACAGAUUACAGCCUUUCUUU